rnacentral:rRNA from 1 species
AUUCCAGCUCCAAUAGCGUAUAUUAAAGUUGUUGCAGUUAAAAAGCUCGUAGUUGGAUUUCUGGCGUCGCCGCCCGGUCGGCCUCGAAAGGGGUUCGCACUCGUUGGCGCGCGUCGCCAUCCUCGGGGGAAGGCCGCCUGGCAUUAAGUUGUCGGGCGGUCGACGCUCGUCGUUUACUGUGAACAAAUUAGAGUGUUCAAAGCAGGCUUAGGCCGUUGAAUACAUUAGCAUGGAAUAAUGAGAUAGGACUUUGGUUCUAUUUUGAUGGUUUACGGACCGAUGUAAUGAUUAAUAGGGACGGUUGGGGACAUUCAUAUUGCAUGGCUAGAGGUGUAAUUCUUGGAUUCAUGCAAGAUGAACUACUGCGAAAGCAUUUGUCAAAGAUGUUUUCAUCG